UACAGAGGUCUCAAGCGUUGUUCGGAUUCAUUGGGCGUAAAGGGUGCGUAGGCGGCGCGGUAAGUCGGGUGUGAAAUCUCGGGGCUUAACUCCGAAACUGCAUUCGAUACUGCCGUGCUUGAGGACUGGAGAGGAGACUGGAAUUUACGGUGUAGCGGUGGAAAUGCGUAGAUAUCGUAAGGAAGACCAGUGGCGAAGGCGGGUCUCUGGACAGUUCCCGACGCUGAGGCACGAAGGUCAGGGGGAGCAAAACGGGG
rnacentral:rRNA from 1 species